CCCCAACUGACGAGUUCAAAACAGGACGAAACGCGCGUCCUGGAU
rfam:Schistosoma mattheei strain Denwood, Zambia genome assembly, scaffold: SMTD_scaffold0012043